UUAAGAAGAAAUCAAGGUAUCUGUCCGUGGUUUUGAGAUUGAGGGUUUGUGUUUGUGCUUUGAGUACUCUCGGACCCACGACGCAGGAUUUAUUUUCGGAGCUUUCGAUUGAAUAACUUGAAUUCAGACGUGCACACUAUGUAAACCAAAUGUACAUUCGUAGGUAUAACUAGUUAUAAAUUUUUCUCAACGACCAAAUUUUUUCAAAUACAAAAAGUUUUGGUGAAUUUUUAAUUCUAGGAAUAAGGAAAGAGCUCUACAAGUUUUUAAUUUUUUGAAUAAAAGAAAUUAUAUGUA